rnacentral:tRNA from 1 species
UCAAGAAGUAGUUUAAUAAGAAUGUCGGCUUUGGGGGCCGGAAGAGUAGAGUUAUGUCUGCCUUCUUGAA